rnacentral:lncRNA from 1 species
AAAUUUUUAAAACACGGAAAACAGCUACCUCUUCCUCUUUUUCCAUCAUUGUGUGUGAGAGAACCAUGGAAGAACUGUUGCCUUCUUCCUCAACAAUCGACCACCACCCGCCACCUAGACCACCAGAUCACUAUACCAUUCGAACCCCCUCAUCUUCCUCUUCAACCUCUUGUCAUUACCAGGCCACGGAGUUGCUGAAAACAGCCCCAAUCACCACCUAAAAUCGCGAUACCAAUCACGAUUUUCGCCAUUUUUCCACCACUGUCAGCCACCGUUUCGAUGGCGGACCACCACCACUCCCCUCUUCUCAACCAGACGCAUCCAGUACCACCAUGGGUCACCAGCAAUUUUGUGCAGAAUCGAGAGAGCUUGUGAAAGCAGUCCGCAAGUGCUCUAAUUUGUGUUUUUUCAAUUUUAAUUAUUAUUAUUAUUACUGGAUGUUUAGAAUACUAUUUUCGUUCCAAUGUGCUGUGAUUUGGAUAAAUGGUCACAAAAGUAUAAGAGUGCAUUUGGGUGGUUUUAGGUAUAGAGAUUUUUAGACAUUAGAGAUUAUGCCUAUAUAAAGGCACUGGUUUUAUAGUUCAAUGGCUUUCAAAGUCGAUAUAAAAUCCAUGUAUAUUCUAAAAGGGAAAUAAAAUCAGUUCUAUGUAGAUUUCAUUUAAAACUGAUUUAGCCCCCAUUUGGCUCCCAUUUUCAAGAAAUGAAAAUGGAUGGAAUAAUAUUUUUUUUGAAAAACAAAUGUUUGAAAAAGAAGUAAAAGUUUUCGAUUUAUGUGUAAUAUUAUUUUAUGAAAGAUUGUACGAUUGAAAAUAGGAGAGAAAAAUAAAAUAUAAUGAACUAUAAUUUAAUGGGGACCAAACGGGGCUUAAUAUACAUGAAAAUAUAGGCCAUAAAGUUCUUGGCUUACUUGAUCUAGGAUAAAAAAAUUUCAGGGAUAGAUACCGUAGAUUUUAGUGCUGGAUUAUGAUAAUUGAGAUUUCGCUUUGUUUUAAAAAAAGAAAAAAGAAAAAAAAAGGUUGAACCCCAAUCUUGAGGGUUCCCAUCGCCCUGUCCUUAGAGCUUUAUGAAGGAGAUAAAUCGUGGGAUGUGCCCCAACAGGUCAGGGAAUAAGAAUAGUCUGUAUAUUGUACCUACAAUGAGUCCAAUUCCACAUCUCAGGAAUUGAACCCCCAUAUUACGACUGUCAGUAAGAUAUGAAAUAACCUAACUCUUGCCCUUUGCACCAUUGGACUAUGUCCCGAGAGGCGAGAUUUUGCUUUGUUAUUAUUUAUAGAACAUGGUGAAAGAGCCUCAUUUAUAAUUCUUUUUCUGAACUUGCUUUGCACAACAGAUUAGUAGGUACGUCUCUGACUCACAAUACUAUCUCCAAGUCAAUUAUCCAUAAAUAAGGAAUAAAUUGAAGGUUGUUCUCUUCUCAAUUCUGCAGAGAGUAAGAAUUUUUUCCUCUUGCUAUCUUCCACUUGUUCCCUACUGCUUCUAUAUGGCACAACAUUCUUUUAGAAGUAGUUCUCUAACUCUACUAUUUUCCUUUAAGGACAUUGGACGAGAAUCACAGAGCCACUGGGUGGCAGGCAUUCCUACAAAUCCCCCAUUUACGAUAUUAAUGCACCAGACUUGUAUAUUCUACUCAUGGCAUUUGGUACCUAUGUUGUUCUUGUCGGCUUAACUCUGGGUUUGAAUGGAAAGUAAGCUUGUGGAACCAAUCUUGUAUUUGUUUGAACACUCUUAUUGGUUGCCUCUGAAGCUUUUUGCUUGGGGUUUUUGCCUUUUUUGGAACAUACGAAUGGCACUCUAGAGAAUGAAAUUAUAAUGCUUUCCAGGUUCAGCCCAGAAGCUCCGAACUGGCUGUUUGUCAAGGGGAUGGUGGGCUGGUUUUUGCAAGUCAUACUGCUGAAAAUGUCAUUAUUUUCAUUGGGUGGUUGAGAGGCACCUUUGCUCGAGAUCGUGGCAUAUGCUGGAUACACUUUACUUUUAUAGGAUUGUCUCUGGCCUUCUCGCGACGAAUUUUCUCGAGCUAUCCAAAAAGCCAAAGAAAUCCAUGUAUACAUGUUGUGUCUGUUAAAGUGCUACAACACUUCACUACAUAUUUUUUGCGCUUGAAGUAGGAAGUUCCCCCUUUGAUGUGCCAGAACUACUGGCAUGUUUAGUAAGGCAGUCUAGCCCAUUUCUGGGUCAAAUUGACAUUUAUAAAGGUAUGUGGUUGAUUAUGGUGAAGUUCUGUUCUUAGUAAACUAUCAUUCCAGCAAUGUAUGUCUAUUUUAAGUUGUCGAACAAAAUCUUGUGCUCAACAAAGAAAGAUAAAGUUGAAUUGAAGUAAUUUAAUCUUUGUUUCUUAAGUUUCCACGAGCAGCCUUUGAAUUGAUAACUAUGACUAUAAUAUCUUAUAACGGCAU